CAAGAUUUUUGGGUCCUCAUGGCAGUCUUUACCAAGAACAGCGUUGUUGCCGUGUGCUUGGGGGCUCUCAUGCUCAUGGCGACCCUUCAUCUCUCCUCGGCAGGUUCAGUCUAUGUUGGAUGUUUCGAGCCACACCAGAACUGCUUCCCAGAUGAGUGUCAGAAGACAUGCGCGGACAAUGUUCCUGGAAAGAAUCUGAAAGGUUCCUGUGAGCCGGACCAUGGCCCACUAAAACCGUAUCCCGCGAUUCAGUGUUGUUGCUAUAGAGACCCUCCGGUCAUGAGUAACAUGGGCGCUUAAUUAGUCGACCCACCUGUUGUACACAACUAAUAAAUCAAUAUCUUUGAGGAAAAUCAGAUUAACAAAGUCGUAAGCUAAGUCAAAUAGUAUAUGUCAUAAUUAUUGAGAGAAAGAAUAAUAUUGUUGUCUGCGGUGCAUUAUAUUAA